UACGUAGGGGGCAAGCGUUGUCCGGAUUUAUUGGGCGUAAAGAGCGUGUAGGCGGUUUGGUAGGUCCGUUGUAAAAACUCGAGGCUCAACCUCGAGACGCCGAUGGAAACCAUCAGACUAGAGUCCGGAAGAGGAGAGUGGAAUUCCUGGUGUAGCGGUGAAAUGCGCAGAUAUCAGGAAGAACACCCGUGGCUAAGGCGGCUCUCUAGGACGGUACUGACGCUGAGACGCGAAAGCGUGGGGAGCGAACAGG
rnacentral:rRNA from 1 species